UUCUAUGUUAGUGAGUUGUUACAGCUUUUAUUUUUUUAUUUAUUUUUUUUUUUUUGGUGCAGGGGGGAGGCAUGAAACAAAGCCAAGAAACACAUUAUCGUACCCUCUAGUGAAUGAAGACACUUGGUUCAGGUGCCUGUUUGAUCUACUGCAUGCCUUUGCAAGGGAACCAUUAAGGUCCAGCCUGUUUCUCCCAGCUCAGCUUCUCCCUAUGGUCAAUUAACAUUCAUCCAGCUUCUAAAGGAAAACAUUCACGAUAUGCUGCCACAGUUUCAUCUGGAUUUCCCUGGGCCCAGGAGCAUGCUUCCAUUUUCUGUGGAUCACUAUGUUCCUUGUACAGUUAAUUGUGUGUUUAUAUGGAAAAAAUGUUUAAAAAAAAAGGAAAAAAAAAGUAACUAAAUAACUAAAUACAACCAUAAGCCUUCUUGCUUGUCCUUAUUAUUUUUUCCUCAGAAUAGAAGAGAUAUAAAAAAAGAUUACCUCUUUGAUGAUAUCUUUAAUUAGUCAUUUCUCAAAUAAAUUUGAGAAAGUAUUUCA
rnacentral:lncRNA from 1 species